rnacentral:rRNA from 1 species
UACGAAGGGAGCUAGCGUUGUUCGGAAUCACUGGGCGUAAAGGGUGCGUAGGCGGGGCUUUAAGUCAGGGGUGAAAUCCUGGAGCUCAACUCCAGAACUGCCUUUGAUACUGAAGAUCUUGAGUUCGGGAGAGGUGAGUGGAACUGCGAGUGUAGAGGUGAAAUUCGUAGAUAUUCGCAAGAACACCAGUGGCGAAGGCGGCUCACUGGCCCGAUACUGACGCUGAGGCACGAAAGCGUGGGGAGCAAACAGG